rnacentral:tRNA from 1 species
UGCGGGGGUUGCCAAGAGGACAAAGGCGCAGCGUUGAGGUCGCUGUCCCGUAGGGGUUCGAGGGUUCAAAUCCCUCCCUCCGCAU